AUUCCACUUUUAUGAUUACCUCGUACGAUUAGGUGAAAACUUCAUAUAAUUUUCAUUUAGACGUGGACGAAUGUCUCUCAAACUCAACAUGCAACGCGAGUGCAAGAUGUAACAACACAGAAGGAUCUUAUACAUGCACGUGUGAUUCUGGAUACAGUGGUGAUGGAUUUUCUUGCGUUGGUAUGCACAGCAUUGAGUUAUUAAUUAUUGUAACAGUCAGAAAAACUAGAAACCUGUUAUUAUAUAGUUAGACCAAAUCCAAAACUGUUGCAGAAAAUGCAACUAUUUUCACUUUAGCUGUUUAGCAGGAGUCAUACUUGCAAUCGUACUAUACCGUUACUGCUCUAUAACCAACUGGGUUACGGAGCGACAGUUGUUCAGCUCUAAAAAAAAAAUCAUGUAUAAAUACAAAGUGGGUCCAAAUGUACGCUGUUUGGGUAAAUAGCAAGACUUUGGGAAUCUCACUCCCUAUGACCCCUUGCUGAAAGGAUUUACAAUUGGAUUUUCAUGAAGGAUUUAUAUACAAAUUGAUGACGCUUAACAAGGAGCAUUUAAAAAAAAUGCAACUCGAUACCCGCACAUUUUCAUCACCUUAAUAUUUACAUGAACACCAUGUGAAAGCUCCACAACUAUUUUUCUGUAUCUCAGUUGAUUAGAACGCCGAUACUGCAGACUGACUGGGUCGUAUAGAUUGGUUUCUUUAACUAAGAAUAAUUGUUACGUUCUUUAACAGGUUUUGGAAUAGGUCUCAUGAAGUCAUGAAAAAUUCCACUUUUGAUGUCAACUUAUAAAUACCUCGUACGAUUAGUUGAAAACUUCAUAUAAUUUUCAUUUAGACGUGAACGAAUGUCUCUCAAACUCAACAUGCAAAGUGAGUGCAACAUGUAACAACACAGAGGGAUCUUAUACAUGCACGUGUGAUUCUGGAUACAGUGGUGAUGGAUUUUCUUGCGUUG
rnacentral:lncRNA from 1 species